rnacentral:rRNA from 1 species
ACUCGAGUGGCGAACGGGUGAGUAACACGUGGGUGAUCUGCCCUGCACUUCGGGAUAAGCUUGGGAAACUGGGUCUAAUACCGGAUAGGAGCCAUCUUUAGUGUGGUGGUUGGAAAGUUUUUCGGUGUAGGAUGAGCUCGCGGCCUAUCAGCUUGUUGGUGGGGUAAUGGCCUACCCAGGCGGCGACGGGUAGCCGGCCUGAGAGGGUGUACGGCCACAUUGGGACUGAGAUACGGCCCAG